rnacentral:rRNA from 1 species
GUUGAUAAACACCGGCGUAAAGAGUGGUUAUGACUAACAAUUAAACUAAAGCCGAACGCUCUCAGAGCUGUUAUACGCAUCCGAAAGUAAGAAGCCCAACCACGAAAGUAGCUUUACACCCCUGAACCCACGAAAGCUAAGAUACAAACUGGGAUUAGAUACCCCACUAUGCUUAGCCCUAAACAUUGGUAACGCCCCACACCCGUUACUCGCCCGGAAACUACGAGCAUCAGCUUAAAACCCAAAGGACUUGGCGGUGCUUUAGAUCCACCUAGAGGAGCCUGUUCUAGAACCGAUACCCCCCGUUAAACCUCACCCCUCCUUGUUACUUCCGUCUAUAUACCGCCGUCGUCAGCCUACCCUGUGAAGGUCUAAUAGUAAGCAAAAUUGGCACAGCCCAGAACGUCAGGUCGAGGUGUAGCAUAUGGAAGGGGAAGAAAUGGGCUACAUUCUCUAAUCUCAGAGAACACGCACGACAUAAUGAAAACACAUGUCACAAAGGAGGAUUUAGUAGUAAGCAGGAAAUAGAGAGUUCCGCUGAAAUAGGCCCUUAAGCGCGCACACACCGCCCGUCACUCUCCCCAAGCCUACACAAACCCAAAUAACCUAAACCCUACUAUUGCAAA